rnacentral:rRNA from 1 species
AAGAAUAAGGCUCGGCUAACUCCGUGCCCGCCACCGCGGUAAUACGGAGGGUGCGAGCGUUUUCCGGAAUUUUUGGGUUUAAAGGGGGUGUAGGCGGCCAUUUAAGUCAGGGGUGAAAUUACGCAGCUUCACCGUAACAGUGCAGUUGAUACUGUUUGACUAGAGUUUGGGAGAGGUGUGCGGAAUUUGUGGUGUAGCGGUGAAAUGCUUAGAUAUCACACAGAACACCGAUUGCGAAGGCAGCUUUCUAAGCCAUUAUUGACGCUGAGGCACGAAAGCGUGGGGAUCAAACAGGAUUAGAUACCCUGGUAGUCCACGCUGUAAACGAUGA